UCGCACGUUCGCGUUUCGAAG
rnacentral:piRNA from 1 species